UGCAGUCGAACGAGAAAGCGUUCUUCGGAACGUGAGUACAGUGGCGGACGGGUGAGUAACACGUGGGGAACCUGCCCUCAAGCUGGGAACAACCCGCCUAACGGCGGGCUAAUACCGAAUGUGGUUGUCAGUCCGCAUGGAAUGACAAUUAAAGGUGGCCUCUCCUUGGAAGCUACCGCUUGUGGAUGGCCCCGCGCUCAAUUAGCUAGUUGGUAGGGUAACGGCCUACCAAGGCGACGAUUGAUAGCCGACCUGAGAGGGUGACCGGCCACACUGGGAUUGAGAUAAGGCCCAGUCUCCUACGGGAGCCAGCAGUCUAGAAAUUUGGGCAAUGGGCGAAAGCCUGACCCAGCGACGCCGCGUGGGGGAUGAAGCUUCUCGGAGUGUAAACCCCUGUUAGGUGGGACGAAAGCCCGUAUACGAACAGUAGGCGGGUUUGACGGUACCACCAGAGGAAGCUCCGGCUAACUCCGUGCCAGCAGCCGCGGUAAUACGGGGGGAGCAAGCGUUGUUCGGAGUUAUUGGGCGUAAAGGGCGUACAGGCGGUGGUGUCAGUCAGAUGUGAAAUCCCCCGGCUCAACCGGGGACCUGCAUUUGAUACUGCAUCACUUGAGUACAGGAGAGGAGAGCGGAAUUUUCGGUGUAGCGGUGGAAUGUGUAGAUAUCGAAAAGAACACCAGUGGCGAAGGCGGCUCUCUGGCCUGAUACUGACGCUGACGCGCGAAAGCCAGGGGAGCAAACAGGAUUAGAUACCCUGGUAGUCCUGGCUGUAAACGUUGGGCACUAGGUGUUGGAGGUAUCGACCCCUUCAGUGCCGAAGCUAACGCAUUAAGUGCCCCGCCUGGGGAGUACGGCCGCAAGGCUGAACUCAAAGGAAUUGACGGGGGCCUGCACAAGCGGUGG
rnacentral:rRNA from 1 species